rnacentral:tRNA from 1 species
UGGCGGAAUUGGUAGACGCGCUAGUUUCAGGGACUAGUGCUGGAAACAGUGUGCAGGUUCGAGUCCUGUUCUGGGUACA